UACGUAGGGAGCGAGCGUUGUCCGGAUUUACUGGGUGUAAAGGGUGCGUAGGCGGGAUGGCAAGUCAGAUGUGAAAUGCCGGGGCUCAACCCCGGAGCUGCAUUUGAAACUGUCGUUCUUGAGUGAAGUAGAGGCAGGCGGAAUUCCUAGUGUAGCGGUGAAAUGCGUAGAUAUUAGGAGGAACACCAGUGGCGAAGGCGGCCUGCUGGGCUUUAACUGACGCUGAGGCACGAAAGCAUGGGGAGCAAACAGG
rnacentral:rRNA from 1 species